rnacentral:miRNA from 1 species
CCUCGUAGACCUUUUCCUGUUCAGACUUUUUAAUCAGAGUUUUCAGGUAGGAGUCUUGGAAGG